rnacentral:lncRNA from 1 species
GAAGAAGAGGCAGAUCUGUCUCGUGAAAUUUCAUCAAAAAUUAAGGCGAUGAGGAUGAGGAAGAGGGAGAUCUAUCUCCAUGAAAUUUCAGCGUAAAAGGAGGUGACAAGGAAAAUGGGUGAGGGUCUACAUAAAAUCCGACGAUGAUAAAUAAGAGACAAAUCUACCUCCUUGGGAUUUAACCAGAGAAUGAGUUCCCUGGCUUUGGUUUUGGGUGGUGUGGGAAAAGAAGAGGAAACUGAGGAUCUAACCCAUGAUAAUUCAUCGGAGAAGGGGGUGGUGAGGAAGUGGG